rnacentral:tRNA from 1 species
GGGGAUUUGGCUCAGUGGUAGAGCACUUGCCUGGCAAGCACAAGGCCCUGGGUUCAGUCCCCAGCUCCG